rnacentral:rRNA from 1 species
UUGGCCUACGGGACGCAGCAGUGGGGAAUAUUGCACAAUGGGGGAAACCCUGAUGCAGCGACGCCGCGUGAGCGAUGAAGUAUUUCGGUAUGUAAAGCUCUAUCAGCAGGGAAGAAAAUGACGGUACCUGACUAAGAAGCCCCGGCUAACUACGUGCCAGCAGCCGCGGUAAUACGUAGGGGGCAAGCGUUAUCCGGAUUUACUGGGUGUAAAGGGAGCGUAGACGGCGGUGCAAGCCAGAUGUGAAAGCCCGGGGCUCAACCCCGGGACUGCCUUUGGAACUGGUAGUCUAGAGUAUGGGAGCG